UCUAGGGAGCCCAGCUUCCUAACAGGUAGCUGGGCCCUGAGUCCUGGCCCUGGUCUGGAGCACCAGCCUUGUGACCUGGUGCAAGUCACUUAGGCUCUCUACGCUUCAGUCUUCUUAGUAAAUGGGCUUGAUAAUAGCACCUACUUCAUAUUGUUGCUAUGAGAGAAUGCAUAUAAAAAGCUUAGUUUGCCAUGCAGCUACUGGUCUGGGGGCAGUCUCUCUGACCUGUUGUGAGCCUGGGCCAUGUGACCAAUGAUGUCACAAAGCACUACUAGACUCCUAACUUCUCCAGUAGGGCCGUGUGGAUCCUUUGGAGCCAAGGACUGGAACUGACAUGCAAGUUCUCUACCAACUGAGGGUUUCAUGAGCACACUCCUUUGCCAAAACCUUGGUGAAUAGUCUUUAACUGCGCAGUUGUGUCUUAGACAUUGUUUUACUUGUUAUCAUGAUUGUACUUGGCUGGAUGCUUUUUGUUGGACUUGCAUGUUACAUGGGCACAUUUCCGGAGUUCAUGCCUCCAACUCUGAAGUGGAAAGAGAAGUGGUCUGUUCAGGAGGACAAGACACGACUGAGGAGCCAGACCUUGGAUGAAGACCAGCAGCUCUGAGAACCAUGUGGAAGGGAUAUAAGUAUCCCCCAGGAGGGACCCCGGUGGAAAUAAGCAAAGAUGAUCCUGGCGAAGUAAUGCAGCUGUGAAGCUCACCUGGCCGGCUAUACAGCUCCUGUUGUUGGUUUUGCAUAAAGUAAUUGCACAUUAUUUUGUCACAUUUUAUGUAAAAAGUUACCGUACUUUUUAAGAUGAAGACUUGGUAUUCUGUUAGC